ACAGCAGUAGCCGCGGUAAUACGUAUGUCACAAGCGUUAUCCGGAUUUAUUGGGCGUAAAGCGCGUCUAGGUGGUUAUGUAAGUCUGAUGUGAAAAUGCAGGGCUCAACUCUGUAUUGCGUUGGAAACUGCAUGACUAGAGUACUGGAGAAGUAAGCGGAACUACAAGUGUAGAGGUGAAAUUCGUAGAUAUUUGUAGGAAUGCCGAUGGGGAAGCCAGCUUACUGGACAGAUACUGACGCUAAAGCGCGAAAGCGUGGGUAGCAAACAGGAUUAGAUACCCGAGUAGUCCCUGUCUCUUAUACA
rnacentral:rRNA from 1 species